ensembl:scaRNA small Cajal body-specific RNA 4
CUUGGAGUACCAAGAAGUCUUAGUCUGAUGAAGCAAGGCUUUGCUGAUACACUCCUCCUAGACAAAAGGGUGGAGAGAGCAGCCCUUAUCAGAGAAAACCACAGGGCUGACUGUAAUGCCCAACAUUU